GGCGCUGUAGUGUAGCGGUUAUCACUCGAGAUUCUGAGGGGAUGCGAAGAGAUAAAAAACAAAAACCUUCUCGAAACCCAGGUUCGAUUCCUGGCAGUGCCU